ensembl:lncRNA
AUGGGUAGAUGUAGAGAGAUCCUUAGAGACACGCUGGUGCGAGGCUACUGGAGUCUGAGUCCAUCUAAAACAGCUAUGAUGAGAAUGCAGGGAGUAGUUUGUCGACUCGGAGAGAGUGGACACACAGAUGUCUCAGAUGAGAUCCCCUGGUGUGUUUACAGAAUGAGGAGGCUCUACCAGAGGAAACCCCCCCCCCCACCCCCCUCACCCUGGAGCUAUAGGCUGCAGACACACCACUCUAGCCUGCCCCAUGUUGGAGGUUCCUGUCAUAACUGGCUGAAAUACACUAGGUCUGAGAUGGCUCGGAACGGUCGUUCUGGACCAGACGUAGGUCAUACAGCUGUGAGGUGGAGGCUAUAUGCAGGUCUCUGAGCCGUCUCAGUCCAGGAACACCUUCAGAAUCAGACAUGGACCAAGAACAGAAACACCAUGUGAGGACAUUUAAAACAUACUGGAUCUGCAAUGGUACAAAUCCACAUCCAUAUGAGUACGCACAAACCAUCCAAAAGAACAUGAACCGAGAAAGAAAAAAACAUACCUUUGGAUGGGCAACAAUGUCCUCAUCAUUCUGCAGGAUGCUGUCAUCUAUGAAUAUGUGCUGUGACUUCCUGGUCGAAGGGGUCCCGGCACCGAAGCUUUCCUCCCAGGAAGGAGUGUAGGUGUUCCUGGCCAACCUAAAGAGAGAGAGAUCAGUGCCCUGACUACAUCACGAAACACGGAAACCUUCAUGGAGGUCAAUACAGAGCACAACUUCUCUAUUACAAUUACUGUGAUACUUAAGACUAAAUGACCUGAUGAUGAUUCAAAGAUGUAGGAGCUUGCCAGCAAACUAGGGCACCCCCAUUAGUGUGAUAAGACUUCAAGCCUUUUGGAAUGGUGCCCCGGAUCUGGACUGGUCAGAACCACCCCCUUCUUACUACAGCGGAUCAAACUCUGCUUUAGAGUAUCCUUUUAGAAUGAGAAUAAACAAAACCAAGUUUACAGGUCAUCCUGCAAGUUCUGCUGAAUCAAAUUAUCUUCUUUCACCCUCCCUGCCGAUAUUCCUACACAAAUAGUCCUUGACAGUUUGAAUAAGUUAUUAUGUGGAUGUUUUUAAACUGCAGCUAACUGUGUAAGGCAGCCUCUGAGCCUCCCCCCUGCAGAAACAGAUGUGUUCUGCUCCAGUAAACUAACUGGUACAGGAACACACUGAGGGGGAUGACAAGGGACUGCAGCCACUCUGUACCCAGGGGAGUAGCACCACACACCAGGCACCCAUAAUACAUCUCACCGUGAAUGACCUUCUGUUGUGAGUUUGUCUUAAAGGGCAUUGUUCCUCGAACAAGAUUUAAGACUUGUAAGAAUUUGGACCACUAUAUCCCACCCACCCCCCCACACUACUCUCAAAUAAUUAUGACUCACCUCUGGGUAGCAAUGAUACCUGUACAAGCUUUAACACAGUAGCAGCCUCUAAAUGCCACCUGUAACACAGUAGCACCCUCUAAAUGCCACCUGUAACACAGUAGCACCCUCUAAAUGCCACCUGUAACACAGUAGCAGCCUCUAAAUGCCACCUGUAACACAGUAGCAGCCUCUAAAUGACAAGCUGCAACAGGUAACAGCCUACAAUGACAACAGGUAACAGCCUACAAUGACAACAGGUAGCAGCCUACAAUGACAACAGGUAGCAGCCUACAAUGACAACAGGUAGCAGCCUACAAUGACAACAGGUAGCAGCCUACAAUGACAACAGGUAGCAGCCAAUAAUGAGUAAUGAGUGCAAUGACUGGACUAUUGGCAGAGUAGCUAACAUAACAGUAUGAUUAUGAUACGAGCAACGCGUCCAUUUAAUAAGGCAGUUAGCAAGAGCUUGGUAAAAUGCCAGGACAACACAGUCAUUAUAGGUAUUGUCCUAAUGAUACCACAUCCAGCAUCACACCCUCCCCCACCCAAAGCACUCAUCAUACCUUAAGGGCUGGGAGUUCGGGGGAACAGUGGGUGGGAGCUCUGGGUGAGGGCACGGGACGCAGAAGACAGCACGCGAGGAAGGUCUCAGCCAAAAGUUAAGGAACAAGAUGGAAAAGUCCCUUCCCGUCUGCCACCAGAUCCUUCAGUAGCUGGAAGGAGGAGGGUAGGCUCCAGUGGUACAGCCCCCUUCACAGCCAGCUCCUUGUUCCCCUCCGGAAAGUACAGCAUGGCUAGGUGCUCGUCCAGCACCCCCCUGAACUACCGACCUGCAGCGGAGCAGGUGAAGCCUGCCACCCGGGCCAAACUAGGAGUGAUAGCAGACAGCACACUCACAUGGUGGGAGUUGAGGUGAGUCACUCAUCCAAUCCCAUGUACCUACAGACAACAGAAAGAGACCGAUGUUUGGCAAUUACACUCAGCAAGGGCACCAUCGUGGCAGGUUGGCACACAGUGGCAAUGAUUCCACUUAUUGAAUUGUCAUGUCAUUUACAGAAAAAGGUUAGUUUUGGGGCAUCUGCUCCUUGAAAAAUAUUUUGGAUCACUCUCAUUCAUUAUAGCUUGUAGAACACUGUUCUACCUCCAAAAUAAAACUGCCUACAUGUAGAAAAUGGCUAUUUAGAGUUUUGACUAGGCGGUAUACAGUUACGACCAGGAGAGACUAUUUCGUACCAGGUUAGGAAAAUGUAUGUAGUAUGUUAGGGUAAUUAUGAUAUGGGGUUAGGGCUAGCUAAAACGGCAUCUUAACCUGCUACGAAAAGUCACUUCCGGUCGCAGCUGUACUCCCAUCUAGUCACAACCGCUAUUUAGGAUAACUGAGGUCAAUGAAUGUAAAUAUAUAUAUAUUUUUAAAUACAUUCCCUGACUGCGGUCCCCUGAACUCGUCACCUAUA